rnacentral:rRNA from 1 species
GUCUAUAGCCAUGCUACCCUGAACAUGCCUGAUCUCAUCUGAUCUUGGAAGCUAAGCAGCAUCGGGCCUGGUUAGUACUUGGAUGGGAGACCACGUAGGAAUACUGGGUGCUGUAGGCU